rnacentral:rRNA from 1 species
AGUGAACGCUGGCGGUAGGCCUAACACAUGCAAGUCGAACGGCAGCACAGGAGAGCUUGCUCUCUGGGUGGCGAGUGGCGGACGGGUGAGGAAUACAUCGGAAUCUACUUUUUCGUGGGGGAUAACGUAGGGAAACUUACGCUAAUACCGCAUACGACCUACGGGUGAAAGCAGGGGACCUUCGGGCCUUGCGCGAUUGAAUGAGCCGAUGUCGGAUUAGCUAGUUGGCGGGGUAAAGGCCCACCAAGGCGACGAUCCGUAGCUGGUCUGAAAGGAUGAUCAGCCACCCUGAAACGGGGACACGGCCCAGACUCCAACAGGAGGGGGCAGUGGGGAGGAUUGGACAAUGGGCGCGAGCCUAACCCGGCCAUACCGCGUGGGGGAAAAAGGCCUUCGGGUUGUAAAGCCAUUUUGUUGGGAAAGAAAUCCAGCUGGCUAAUACCCGGUUGGGAUGACGGUACCCAAAGAAUAAGCACCGGCUAACUUCGUGCCAGCAGCCGCCGUAA